GACGAACGCUGGCGGCGUGCUUAACACAUGCAAGUCGAGCGGAAAGGCCACUUCGGUGGUACUCGAGCGGCGAACGGGUGAGUAACACGUGAGUAAUCUGCCCCUGGCUUUGGGAUAGCCACCGGAAACGGUGAUUAAUACCGGAUAUGACCACUUCUCGCAUGGGUUGUGGUGGAAAGUUUUUCAGCCAGGGAUGUGCUCGCGGCCUAUCAGCUUGAUGGUGAGGUAAUGGCUCACCAUGGCUUCGACGGGUAGCCGGCCUGAGAGGGUGACCGGUCACACUGGGACUGAGACACGGCCCAGACUCCUACGGGAGGCAGCAGUGGGGAAUAUUGGACAAUGGGCGGAAGCCUGAUCCAGCAACGCCGCGUGAGGGAUGACGGCCUUCGGGUUGUAAACCUCUUUCAGUACCGACGAAGCGCAAGUGACGGUAGGUACAGAAGAAGCACCGGCCAACUACGUGCCAGCCGCCGCAGUAAGAC
rnacentral:rRNA from 1 species